CCUACGAGAGGCAGCAGUGAGGAAUAUUGGUCAAUGGGCGCGAGCCUGAACCAGCCAAGUAGCGUGAAGGAUGACUGCCCUACGGGUUGUAAACUUCUUUUAUAAAGGAAUAAAGUGAGGCACGUGUGCCUUUUUGUAUGUACUUUAUGAAUAAGGAUCGGCUAAAUCCGUGCCAGCAGCCGCGGUAAUACGGAGGAUCCGAGCGUUAUCCGGAUUUAUUGGGUUUAAAGGGAGCGUAGAUGGGGUGUUAAGUCAGUUGUGAAAGUUUGCGGCUCAACCGUAAAAUUGCAAUUGAUACUGGCAGCCUUGAGUACAGUUGAGGUAGGCGGAAUUCGUGGUGGAGCGGUGAAAUGCUUAGAUAACACGAAGAACGACGAGUGCGAAGGCAGCUUACUAAACUGCCACUGACAUUGAGGCUCGAAAGUGUGGGUAUCAAACAGGAUUAGAUACCCUUGUAGUA
rnacentral:rRNA from 1 species